AUUGAACGCUGGCGGCAGGCCUAACACAUGCAAGUCGAGCGAGAGGCGGACGGGUGAGUAAUGUCUGGGAAACUGCCUGAUGGAGGGGGAUAACUACUGGAAACGGUAGCUAAUACCGCAUACCAUCAGAUGUGCCCAGAUGGGAUUAGCUAGGAGGUGGGGUAAAGGCUCACCUAGGCGACGAUCCCUAGCUGGUCGGAGAGGAUGACCAGCAACACUGGAACUGAGACACGUUCCAGACUCCUACGGGAGGCAGCAGUGGGGAAGAUUGCACAAUGGGCGCAAGCCUGAUGCAGCCCUGCCGCGUGUAUGAAGAAGGCCUUCGGGUUGUAAAGCACUUUCAGCGAGGAGGCGUUACUCGCAGAAGAAGCACCGGCUAACUCCGUGCCAGCAGCCGCGGUAAUAC
rnacentral:rRNA from 1 species